AUCCUGGACUUCCCUCUCAUGAUUCUGAAGGCAAUACUUUAAUGUGGCUGAGGGGAGAUGGUGGAGAUAGAGGUCUUCAGGCACUGAAUUCCCAGUCGUUCAAUGCGGGUCCCUGGAUUCAACAGAGGUACGAACCGUUACUGCUAGGAAAUGCACAUGAUCAGUUUCAAACAAUGUCUGGUCCAGUUUUACAGAACAUAAGAGGCGCUGAUAUCCUGAAGCAGCAGUUUGCAAACUAUCAGCAACCAUUCCAAUUUUCUCAACAGUACUCCAGAGCUUUACCAAUGUCACAGCAAACUGUUCAACACACAAACUCGCAAAAUAUAUUAGAAAAUCAGAUGCGCAGUGUGCAACACCAGCAACCACCUCUUCUGCAUGUUGAACAGCCAAUGCAGCAGAUUCAACGGCCACAAGCAUAUGGGACGUUUUUCGACACAAGUGAACGUAUGCAGCAACAACAAUGCAAUGUUCAUUCUCAAUCGUGUGAACCAUUAGUUUUUCAUGAUUCAAGCACUAACCAUUUGGGUUCUGCUCGCCGAGAAGUUGGUUCCGAAUUCUUUAACUUCUCAAGGCUUG
rnacentral:misc_RNA from 1 species